CUUCACAAAAAUAUAUUGAUAAUUUCAUAUAUAUGAGCUAGAGAAAAAAAACUCACAUAUAAAGUUGCCAAGUUCCAGCUGGAGUUCAUGUCUACAGAAUCGAAUCUUCAGAUUGCCAGAAAUUCUCACUCCUUCGGGUGUCUUUUCUCAUUUUCGCCGUUAAAAAUGGUAUUCGUUCAAUUCCCUUUCGCUAAGAAGACGCAGUGUGCCAUUUAUUUGCAAAAUUCGUGCAGAAAAUGAAGAUUGAUCGGUUACUGCGCUUAAAAUCGCCGUUUUACUGCCAAAAUUGGGCUAUUCCAUUUAAUAUCCGUACCCCCCCUGUCGAGGAUCCCUGGAAUUCUUCAGGGGUAAAGGGUUUUGAGCUUGGAAUUCUUCAGGGGUAAAGUGUUUUGAGCUUGGAAUUCUUCAGGGGAAAAGUGUUUUGAGUUUGGAAUUCUUCAGGGGUAAAUGGUUUUGAGCUUGGAAUUCUUCAGGGGUAAAGGGUUUUGAGCUUGGAAUUCUUCAGGGGUAAAGAGGUUUGAGAUUGAAAUUUUUCAGAGCUUGGAAUUCUUCAGGGGUGAAGGGUUUUGAGCUUGGAAUUCUUCAGGGGUAAAAGGUUUUGAGCUUGAAAUUCUUCAGGGGUAAAGGGCUUUGAGCCUGGAAUUCUUUAGGGGUGAAGGGUUUUGAGCUUGGAAUUCUUCAGGGGUAAAAGGUUUUGAGCUUGGAAUUCUUCAGGGGUAAAGGGUUUUGAGCUUGGAAUUUUGGAAUUCUUCAGGGGUAAAAUGUUUUGAGCUUGGAAUUCUUCAGGGGUAAGGAGUUUUGAGCUUGGAAUUUUGGAAUUCUUCAGGGGUAAACAGUUUUGAGCUUGGAAUUCUUCAGGGGUAUGACAAUGAAAAACAUGUAUCCUCGACAGGGGGGUACGGAUAUUAAAUGGAAUAGCCCAUUUUGCAUUUCCCUAUCUUUUUCCUGAUAAAAAAUGUGCAUGACACUUGCCAGAGGGUCGCGCAUGCGCAUUAAAAAAGUGGGGACAUGAUUUGCCUCGAGUUCCGCC